UACGUAGGUGGCGAGCGUUACUCGGAAUUACUAGGCGUAAGGCGUAUGUAGGCUGUCGUAUAAGUCUUUAGUAAAAUUUCCCGGCUCAACCGAGAAAAGCCUAAUGGAUACUGUUCGACUUGAGUGUGGGAGAGGGAGACGGAAUUCCUGGUGUAGCGGUGAAAUGCGUAGAUAUCAGGAGGAACACCGAUGGCGAAAGCAGUCUCCUGGACCAAUACUGACGCUGAUGUACGAAAGCUAGGGUAGCAAACAGGAUUAGAUACCCUGGUAGUCCUAGCUGUAAACUAUGUUCACUAGAUGUGGGAGGUAUCGACCCCUUCCGCGUCGAC
rnacentral:rRNA from 1 species